ensembl:snoRNA small nucleolar RNA, C/D box 104
GCGGUGAUGAUUCUCUCAGCGUGUUAGACUGCUGAUGCGGAUGAGGAGACAUUGGAUCUGAGC